ensembl:lncRNA
AUAACAAAGGUGCACAGCAGUGGGCCCCAGGGUCGGUUUACUCAGUGGUGUAAUGUUUGUUCUCUUGGUCCUCACAGGCCCCUUUAUCAGGGCCCCCUGUCAGGCCCACUACGACCCUAUGAAAGGUCUUUGGCUUCAGUGCAUUGUGUAUUCUGCCACUGUGUACAGUCUGUGCAGAAAAGCAAGAAAAAGAGCCAAAGGUGAGGUGGUAAAGGCAAACAUUAAAAACGGAGAGAUGUGGAGCCUGCAGGUCUUGGUUGUGUUCCAUAAAGAGGCCAUCUAUGGUUCUUCAGAGUGGGAGAAAGGGGUGGAGAUUUAGGGUGCAUUCCUCACUCUUGAUGCCUUGAAGGUGUGUCAAGAAGACAGGCUUGGGCCCCUGCAGGCUUGCAGGCCACAGCAGGCUAAUAUUGUCUUGACCUACAACAGAUAGGAGCACCCCUCUUCCCUCAGCUAUGGUCUCAGCAAAAAGUAACUUUUGUGACUGGGAGGUCGCCGGUUCAAACCCCAGGCAUGCAAGGACCAAGAAAGAAUGGACUGGACUUGGAUUGGUGGCCAGGAAGCAGACUGGGGUGCAGCACCACCAUCCACCCCCUCCACCCAUCCUCAUUGUCAGUGCCACUGUCAACCCUAAACGUCCCUUCAAGUGCUCCCCGGCGCUGGAUGCCAGCUGCCCUCUGUGCCCACAUGUUGCAUGUUACAUGUGCAUGUGUGUAUUUUUGUUGGCAGAGACAUAAUUUCAUUGAAGGUGUGUACUGACAAUGAUUAAUAAAGGAUGUCUUCUUCUUCUUUUCCAGUUUUAAUGGCAAACACAUAUUCAUGGAGAAAAUAGUGGUUCAUUUAAUUUGAGCGGUAACUCUGUGUGUACAAGGAGGUGAAAGAAACUAUGAUCACUUGCCAAAUGUGCAUCCUUCCACUCCAGAACCUCAUGAUCUGCAAAAAGCAUAGACCCAAUCCUGAAGUGUCUGCAUAGAACUUCUGUCCAUGAUGCUGAUGAAUAGAAUCUAGCAACCAAUCAGACUUACUGCUGGCAAUGUGGCCCAAGCUCAGUCCCUGUGAUCAAUCAGGUACCUAAAAAGGACUUCCCAGAGGAAUACCUGAUGUACAUGGUGGAACAUUUGCUCUGUGUCCACAAAGCAAAUAUUGACUGGCAUAUUUGGUCCUAGCUGAGGGGUUAGCACUUAAAUUUUAAUGUUUUCACAGCCCUUAUGCUGCAAUAAUGCAAGGUUUUGUCAUUGUGUGCAAUAAUGCAAUGUUUGUGUUCCCUGGCUGUGAUGUCAUUUGUCAUGUCCAUUUUUUUUUUUACAUUUGAACCAUAGCUCAUGGCAUCAUGGUGGGUGUAGUAUAUAAACAAGAGUCAUAGUUGCAUUCAGAACACAAUGGUUCUGAAUCUGUCACACUAACAUCAUUCUACUAAUAUAGACAACAGUAGAAGCCAGCUCAUAGGGAAGAUCGUUGGAACCCAUCACCAGGUGAUUGACGUCCUGGGAGAAGGUACCUACUCUGUGGUGAUGAGCUGCUGCAAUCUUUCUACCAAAUAGAUGGAGGCUGUAAAGCUGUUCAGGUAAUGCCACAACAUUGCUGAUGUGGCUCAGAGAGAGGUCAGCAUCCUGGGGGGGCUGAGACGUCUCAAUCCAAACAAGUCCAACGUCAUCAGCUGGAAGAGCAGUUUUUCUUCUGAGCAGUUAUCCUGGAUUUGAGCUCCUUGACCAAUAGAUCGUUAUCGUCAUGGGACCAGGGCCCUUCUGGUGUCUGAGGUUAGACCUAUUACACAUCAGCUGUCCACAGCUCUUGAUCACUUAAAGACUGUUGGAAUUGUUCAUGCCGAUCUUAAACCUGACAACAUCUUAUGUGUGAACCGUAACCAGCUGCCAAUCAGAGUGAAGUUAGCAUGGACUGGCUCAGUAUUUAGAAAAUAUUGAUUCUACUUGGCCCAUCCAGACUCUCUGCUACAGGGCUCCUGAGGUUUUAGUAAGGGGCGUUUAUAAUGAGGCCAUAGACAUGUGAUCUCUAGGUGUAACAGCUGCAGAACUGGUGCUGGGGACCUUCCUCUAUGGUGUCAGUAAUGAAUAUGAUUCACGGAGAGCCAUCAUAGAAACACAGGGACCCAGAUUACUUGGUAGACCUAGGAAAUUUUUCAAAUCAAAUCAAUCUUUUACAAUCAAAAUUGUUUCAAGGUGCUUUCCAGAAUCCCGGGGCCUAACCCCAGACAAGCAACAGUGGCAAGGAAAAACUCCCCUUUAACAGGAAGAAACCUUGAGCAGGACCAGGCUCAUGUAGGGGGACCCUCCUGCUGAUGGCCGGCUGGGUAGAAAGAGAGGAGAAGGGGGGAGGACAGGUAGAGGAUAGAAUAGGGAGAGGAGAGGAGAGGAGAGGAGAGGAGAGGAGAGGAGAGGAGAGGAGAGGAGAGGAGAGGAGAGGAGAGGAGAGGAGAGGAGAGGAGAGGAGAGGAGAGGAGAGGAGAGGAGAGGAGAGAGGAAUAGAGCAUAAAUUUUUCCCAUUCAAGACACCAAAAGUGCCACCCAGUGAGGCACCUCCCAGUAAAAGAACUGUAUGUGUCCAGGAGCCUUGAUAAAUACCAAAAUGUUAAACCUGGAUCCUAAAGAUUGUAUGUAGUUUGGUGGUGACAGAAGCUCUCAUGUUUAUGGAUCUGGAAUGGUAUUUAUAUGUGCAGCAAUGGGCUCAGAGGGAGCCUGGAGACACCAUGACCACCAUCCUUCAUACCUGCCUCCUUUAAGUAUCCCUGACUACCUGACAUACGUUCCACACCUCACUCCAGCAUUAACAUGCACUUUACAAAUGGCUUACGUUGACCUCUGUAAUUUAUGCUAAGUGCUGACUUCACUGUACUUUUAAAUAAAAGGCGCAUUUUAGAUUGAAGAAUUACAUUUUUUUAGUCUGUCAAAAUGUCAAACUGAGGAAAAAGAUUUGGGCAACAUUGUUUUUUUUUUGUUCUUUUUAAAAAAAGCAUUACUUCAGAAAAUUCAAGUUUUUAUUUGAAGAUAAUUUUCUUGUUCAUUAAUAAAAGAAUUGAAUUCCUCACAAACAAUGUGAUAUCUUUGUUCUUACUUGCACCUGCAAGGGUGUGUUGUGUUCUUGGAGCUGUGAGCCUGGAUGUGAAGCUGUCAGCCUCACAAGCCUUCCGAGUGUUGCACCAAGGCCUGGUCCAACAUUCACCUCACUCAUGACAGGUUCUUUCACUGGGAGUAUUCAGUGCUUAAAAAUGCAGCUUUAAUGACAACUCAAGAUAGUGAUUAUGCUGAAAGAUGGACUCUGCACAGCAAAUUAUAUUAUUAUAUAUAUUAUAUAUUAUUCCUAUAUAUUAGGAAUAGUAUAUAGUUUGGAAUGAUAGCAAACACAUUUAAAGGAAAGAGAAUAGAAGAUCGUCUGCAUAUAAGCAUUAAACUAGUUGACCCUCACAUUACAGCAGCAGGACAA